UAUUCCAUUCCAUUCCAUUCCAUUCCAUUCCAUUCCAUUCCAUUCCAUUCCAGUUGACUCCAUUCCAUUCCAUGCCCUUGCAUUCCUUUCCAUUCCAUUCCAUUCCAUUAAAUUCCAUUGCAUUCCUUGCCAUUCGUUUCCUUUCUAAUCGGGUGGAUUCCAUUCCAUUCCAUUCCAUUCCAUUCCUUUCCUUUCCAUUCUUCUCGGGUUGAUUCCAUUUCAUUCCAUUCCAUUCCAUUCCAUUCCAUCCCAUCCCAUUGCAUUCCCUUCCAUUCCACUCGUGUUGAUUCCAUUCCAUUCCAUUUCAUUCCAUUCCAUUCCACUUGCUUUGAUUCCAUUCCAUUGCAUUCCAUUCCAUUCCAUUCCACACCAUUCCAUACCAUUUCAUUGCAUUCCGUUCCAUUCCCUCGGGUUGAUUCCAUUCCAUUCCAUUCCAUUAAUUUCCAUUCCAUUCCAUUCCACUCGGGUUGGUUCCAUUCCAUUCCAUUCCGUUGCACUCGUGUGAAGUCCAUUCCAUUCCAUUCCAUUCCAUUCCAUUCCAUUCCAUUCCAUUCCAUUCCAAUCCAUUCCAAUCCAUUCCAUUCCACUUGGGUGGAUUCCAUUCCAUUCCAUUCCAUUCCAUUCCAUUCCAUUGCAUUCCAUUCCAUUCCAUUCCAAUCCAUUCCAUCCAAUUUCACUUGAUUUUAUUCCCUUCCAUUCCUUUUCAAUCCAUUCCAUUGCAUUCCAUUCCAUUCUAUUCCAUUUCGUUCCAGUCCAUUCCACUCCAUUCCAUUCCAUUCGAGUUGAUUCCAUUCCAUUCCAUUCCAUUCCAUUCCAUUCCAUUCCAUUGUAUUCCAUUCCAUUCCAUUCCAGUCGGUUUGACUCCAUUUCAUUCCAUUCCAUUGCAUUCCAUUCCAUUCCAGUCCAGUCGGGUUGAUUCCAUUGCAUUCCAUUCCAUUCCAUUCCUUUCCAUUCCAUUCCCUUCCAUUCCAGUAGGGAUGACUCCAUUCCUUUCCAUUCAAUUGCAUUGCAUUCCAUUCCAUUUCAUUCCAUUCCUAUCGGGUUGAUUCCAUUACAUUCGAAUCCACUACAUUCCACGCAGGUUGAUUCCAAUCCAUUCCAUUCCAUUCCAUUCCAUUCCAUUCCAUUCCAUUCCAUUCCAUGCCAUUGCUUUCCAUUCCAUUCCAUUCUUUCCAUUCCACAUGGGGUGAUUCCAUUCCAUUCCAUUCCAUUCCAUUCCAUUCCAUUCCAUUCCAUUCCUUUCCAUUCCACUCGGGUUGAUUCCUUUCCAAUCCAUU
rnacentral:lncRNA from 1 species